GCUUAGAGAGGGGUCAAUGUCCUAUCAGCUAGUUGGUAGGGUAAUGGCCUACCAAGGCUAAGACGGGUAGCCGGCCUGAGAGGGUGGUCGGCCACACUGGGACUGAGACACUGCCCAGACUCCUACGGGAGGCUGCAGUCGAGAAUCUUUCGCAAUGCCCGAAAGGGUGACGAAGCGACGCCGCGUGUGGGAAGAAGGCCUUCGGGUUGUAAACCACUGUCGGGAGUUAAGAAAUGCAAGGGUGUUAAUAGCAUCCUUGCUCGACUAAGGCUCCGGAGGAAGCCACGGCUAACUCUGUGCCAGCAGCCGCGGUAAUACAGAGGCGGCAAGCGUUGUUCGGAAUUAUUGGCGUAAAGAGCACGUAGGCGGCUUUGUAAGUCAGUUGUGAAAGCCUUCUGCUCAACGGAAGAACAGCAUCUGAUACUGCAAGGCUAGAGUGCGGAAGGG
rnacentral:rRNA from 1 species